rnacentral:snoRNA from 17 species
UGGCUCAGUUUCCUGGGGGUGGGCUCAGCCUACACCACCUCCCCUCAGCUGAGCCUAGAAUAGAGGGGCCAGGCACCCUCCUUCAUGGGAGAGGUAUUUAAGGAAGGCGCCUCGCCUGGGCUGGCCUAGCCUCACAUUU